rnacentral:rRNA from 1 species
GACGAAGGGGGCUAGCGUUGUUCGGAAUUACUGGGCGUAAAGCGCGUGUAGGCGGUUGUCCAAGUCGGGUGUGAAAGCCUUGAGCUCAACUCAAGAAAUGCACUCGGUACUGGGUGACUAGAGGACCGGAGAGGAUAGUGGAAUUCCCAGUGUAGUGGUGAAAUACGUAGAGAUUGGGAAGAACACCAGUGGCGAAGGCGGCUAUCUGGACGGUUUCUGACGCUAAGACGCGAAAGCGUGGGGAGCGAACAGG